ensembl:lncRNA LINC01547 long intergenic non-protein coding RNA 1547
GGGCGGGCGCAGGGUCGCGGGUGUAGGGUGGCGGCGCUCCGCCUUUCACCGACGCACCUGGGAGAAACAGACCGGAGGACGCGGGUGGCGCGGAGCACGAGAAACAACGAGUUUCUGUCUAGAUCGUGGGGGACCCAAGCCCGGGGUUGCGUCCAAGGUCGGGGAUGGAGAGGACGCGACCCCCGCGGCAGUCGAGAUGGCCUUUUUAAAAUUCUAUAUUUGAGAAGGAGUCUCGCGCUGUCGCCCAGGCUGGAGCGCAAUGGCGCGAAAUCGGCUCAUUGCAGCCUCGACGUCCAGGACUCGAGCGAUCCUCCCGCCUCAGCCUCUCGAGAAGGUGGGACCACCGGUGGGCACCGCCACGCCCGGCUAAUUUUUAUUAAUGUUUUGCUAGAGCCGGGAUCUUGCUGUGUUGUCUGGCUGGUCUUAAACUCCUGGGCUCCAGCGAUCCUCCCUCCUCGGCCUCCCAAAGCGCUGGGAUUACAGGCAUGAGCCACACUGCGCCUGGCCAAGCUAGUGCAUUUUAAUUGACCUUCACUUCAUGUCAAUUUAUUUUUUACACUAUUCCAUUUAGUCCUCAGAACAGUUCUUUAGAAUUGGGUAUUGCUCCGUUUACGUGGGAAACAUAGCAGCGAGGUAACGGGCUGGGUCCCGUGCUGGGAACGGGAGCCCUGCUCAUCUGACUGCUUGCACCCUGUGCUGUCUAUGCUGGGCGUACUGGGGGGCGUUAGGGAAGAGACCACAGGUACGAUGCAAUGCCUGUCCUCAAGGAGCCCAUUGUUCUCAUGGGAACACAAAGCUGACACAUCGAGAACAAACUAUGGAACAGGCUGUGGCUGAGGGCCAUGAAGGAAGGCUGCCAAGUCCGGGCCCAGCCAGGUAGCAGCCACACCUCUAUCUACCCUGCUCCCCAACACUGGGCACCAGCACUCACCUGCCCAGGACCCACAGUGAAAACCCACCCACAAAAAAUGCACUUUGGAGAAGAGUAGCAGGUCCCAGGCAGAGCCAGGGCCACCUCUCAGAAAGGACAUCAAGUUUCUCGCCCAGCUGAGAGAUGGACAGAUGACCGCACAAGCCACUCACAGCCCAAGGUGAUGGACUCUAGGAUAUAUUCAAGGCUGAGCAACUGGCUUGAAGUCGUGUCUACUUACAUAUUCAAAGACCUAGUGAGCAUUCACAAGUCAUUCUUUUUACCCUCCAACUAGCCGUGUUCUCAACCAGUCUACCUAGGAAUGCUGUUGGCUGUGAAAACUCCAGAGGCUGGUAUCUUUAGAGUUCCUUCAGGGUGCAUUCAGCAUCUGAGCCUAGCGACUCUUGAGGUGAAAGUGCUCACGUUUUUUUUUUGGUGAGAGAGUCUCACUCUGUCGCCCAGGCUGGAGUGCAGUGGCGCAGUCUCAAAGUGCUCAUCUUUAUGUACUUUGGAUGCCGGUGAAUGCCUAUUGUUUCAGCCAGCUGGAUCACUUUACCUGUUAACCAUUCCAAUGUGAGUUUACUUCAUGGAAUUGUGCCUGUUUUUAAAGAACAUAUUCUGGCUGGGCGUGGUGGCCCACGCCUGUAAUCCCAGCACUUUGGGAGGCUGAGGCAGGCGGAUCACCUGAGGUCAGGAGUCUGAGACCAGCCUGACCAACGUGGAGAAACCCCAUCUCCACUAAAAAUACAAAAUUAGCCAGGCGUGGUGGCGCAUGCCUGUAAUCCCAGCUACUCAGGAGGCUGAGGCAGGAGAAUCGCUUGAACCGGGGAGGCAGAGGUUGCAAUGACCCAAGAUCACACCGUUGCACUCUGGCCUAGGCAACAAGAGCAAAACUCCGUCUCAAAAAAAAAAAAUUUAUAUUCUUUAAAGAUCAGCCUCCUCUUCCACUGCCAGCCCAGUGUUUGAGACUGCUAUGGUUUGAAUGUUGGUCCCCUCUGAAACCCAUGUUGAAAUGUAAUUGCCAUCAUACUAGUAUUAAGAUGUGGCACCUUUAAGAGGUGAUUAGGCCACAAGGACUCUACCGUCAGGAAAGGGUUAAUGUUGUUAUCAUGGGAGUGGGUUUGUUAUCAAAGUAUUUUUCAUAAAAGGACUAGUUUGCCCCCCUUUUGGCACACUCUUGCCCUCUCUUUGCUGUUCCACCAUGGGAUGACACAGCAAGAAGGCCCUUGCCAGUUGCUAGCUCUUCUGUCUUGGACUUCCCAGUCUCCAGAACCAUGAGCCAGUAAAUUUCAGUUCAUUAUAUAAAUUACCUAGUCUGUGGUAUUCUGUUAUAGCAGCACAAAACAGAGUAAGACAGUGACAAAGAUACUCACCUGUACAAAGGAGGAAGCUUCAAAAGAAGCCAUUCAUGUAUGGGGUGGGACUGCAGAAGGACCACAGUAGAGAAUCCCUCACCAAUAAGGAACUGUGUUAAUCAGGAGUGGCCAGAAGGCUCCUCUCCAGGCCUCACAGAGGGAAACACUGGUCUAGUGAGAGACCUGCGUCCUGCCCAUCAGGACCGAAGCGGCACGCGUGAGGAUCCUGCAGGCCAAGAGACAACAGCGAUUACAAACCCCAGUCCCAGCCUUGCAGCUGACCUUGCAGGUGACGCCCUGCCUGGGUGUCUCGGUGCAGCUGCACAUCAGGGGCCUCUGCUGGACAGAAGCUCUGAGUCCACACUUGGCCCCCAGGCGCUGGAGCUGGAGCACUGCCACGAGAGGGGAUGCUGCCGUGGCUGCGCCAGCUUCAGCCCUUUCCCUGCACCGAGAUGUCCCAGUGAGCGGCUGGGUGCUCACAGUUCCCGUUGGGCCAUCAGAGGAAGAUCAAAGAUCAACCCUCCCCCAUGGGCUCCUGCCUGCCUGCCAGGUGGGUUUCCUGCCUGUCUCCCAGCCCCCAAGAGCUCCACGGACUCUGCCAGUAGCUGCUUUAAAGGAGGGAGGGAGUUUUCUGAUCCUCUGGACAUCCCUGGGGCUGGAGCUAUGGGCUGAGCCAUAGGAGAGCCAGCCCAGCUCCCUGGGGGUUGGGGGCUGUGUCUCUCCAUCCCUUAGUAAAAAUACAGCAACUCCCAACUCAAAGUCAAGGGUCAAUAGUCACAAAACCUUGGUGCAGCCUGGAACAGGCAUAGAGGUCUCAGCAGAGCUGCCCAAGGACAAGACCUAAGAUCCAGCAGGGAACUAUGUAGUCACCCCGAGAGGCCCAGCUCUCUCCGUGAGCUCUGGGCCUAGGGUGGGGGUGGUUGUUGGUUCUGCGCGCACUGUUCCCCCUACAUGAUGGGUCCAUCCCAGUUGGCUUCUCUCACUCGCUUCCUCCUGUGGAGAAGCCUGUCCAGGUGUCACUGCCUCCAGGAAGCUGUCUCUGAUUUCUCCAGUUGAACAGUGAGAUUUGCCACACCUCACAUGCAUCGCUCUUGUCCCUGGAAUUGUAACCAUAGGUUUUCCUGUCUCCUGGAGGACAAGGAUGAGGGCUUUCCACUUGAGUCUCCCUGGUGGAGCCCAGCUCCUGACAUACCUGGUAAAAGUUCUCAAGAGAAGAACAUGGAGGAGGAAUGUGGAUAACAACCCUGGCUGCCUGUGUGUUCCAAGCUAGGAAGAUGUAAUGUCCCCACAAACGGGGUAAAUGGCUUGCCUGCGUCACAGCUGUCUCAAGCCCAGGCCCUGGGUGCCAGCCCAAGCCCAAGGACUAGGUCCAGAGCCACACAGCGCCAGGCCACAUCCGCCUCACCUGGGACCUUUUGUGGGGUACAGUCUCCGGCCCCACCCAGACCUGCUGAAGGAGAGACCCCAUGGCAAGGACUCAGCCACCUGCAGUUUCAUAAGCCCCCAGUGGGUUCCUAGGCAUGAAGACCACCGGUUAGAGGCUGAACUGGCAGGAACCUGUCUCCAGCCCCUUCUCACCCCAGCCGGGCCCUGCCUCAGAGGCAGCACCCAGGACGUGGCCAUGACCCGUGGACUCCACUCAAUCCCUCUUCUCCAGGAGCCAUGCAAAGUGUCAGCCAGCCAGGCCCCUGGAAGGCAGUCAUCACCUCUUAAGGCAUUGCGGGUGUCGGUCCUGCAACUGCCAGGUGCAGCACACGACCCAUGUCCGGUGUUCGAUAGCAGGGAGCCAUGACCUGGCAACGAUUCCACGCUCAAAGGGGCACCCGGGGGGCCCUGGGUCGGGGCGGAUCAGCUUUCCCUGGGCACAUCUGCCUCAUUCCAGAUCUCCAGGGCUCAUGUCUGUGACAGGGAGGGAAGGCUCUGCCCUGGCCUUCCGUCAGCUCUGCCAGUGCAGGCUGGGCAGCCUGGGCUUUAGAGCUGGCUUCUGCCCACACUUUCUCCGUGAAAGGAAAACAACUAUGAGUCUGCCAAACGCAUCUCAGAUGCGUUUUAAAAAAUUCUGGUCCCCGCUCUCUGUCCCAUCAUCUGCCUCGGGGACUUCCUCUCUCCGUGGUUCUCACCCCAUACUCUGUCACUGCCACAUUUUCACCUGGGCCUGGCCUUUGUCUC